rnacentral:rRNA from 1 species
CAGCAGCCGCGGGAAUACGAAGGGUGCAAGCGUUAAUCGGAAUUACUGGGCGUAAAGCGUGCGUAGGCGGUUUGUUAAGUCUGUUGUGAAAUCCCCGGGCUCAACCUGGGAAUGGCAAUGGAUACUGGCAAGCUAGAGUGUGUCAGAGGAUGGUGGAAUUCCCGGUGUAGCGGUGAAAUGCGUAGAGAUCGGGAGGAACAUCAGUGGCGAAGGCGGCCAUCUGGGACAACACUGACGCUGAGGCACGAAAGCGUGGGGAGCAAACAGGAUUAGAGACCCCUGUAGUCCCUGUCUCUUAUAC